CCUACGGGAGGCAGCAGUGAGGAAUAUUGGUCAAUGGCCGGAAGGCUGAACCAGCCAUGCCGCGUGAAGGUCAGUGCCCUAUGGGCGUUAAACUUCUUUUGUGCGGGAGCAAUAAUGGUCACGUUUGGCCAGACGAGAGUACCGUCUGAAUACGCAUCGGCUAACUCCGUGCCAGCAGCCGCGGUAAUACGGGGGAUGCAAGCGUUAUCCGGAAUGUUGGGGGUUAAAGGGUGCGUAGGCUGGGAGGUAAGGCUGCGGUGAAAUGCCCCGGCUCAACGGGGUGAAGUGCCAUUGAUACUGUCUUGCUGGAAUGCGGAUGCGGUAGGAGGAAUGUGUGGUGUAGCGGUGAAAUGCAUAGAUAUCAGACAGAACACCGAUUGCGAAGGCAUCUCACGAAUCCGCGAUUGACGCUGAUGCACGAAAGCGUGGGUAUCAAACAGGAUUAGAUACCCGUGUAGUC
rnacentral:rRNA from 1 species